UACGGAGGGUGCAAGCGUUAUCCGGAUUCACUGGGCUUAAAGGGUGCGUAGGUGGCUUUGUAAGUCAGUGGUGAAAUGCCGCAGCUCAACUGCGGAACUGCCAUUGAUACUGCUUAGCUUGAAUCACGUCGAGGUGGAUGGAAUAUUACAUGUAGCGGUGAAAUGCUUAGAUAUGUAAUAGAACACCGAUUGCGAAGGCAGUUCACUAGGCGUGUAUUGACACUGAGGCACGAAAGCGUGGGGAGCAAACAGG
rnacentral:rRNA from 1 species